rnacentral:rRNA from 1 species
CCUANGGGUGGCAGCAGUCGAGAGGCUUUGGCAAUGGGGGAAACCCUGACCAAGCGACGCCGCGUGGAGGAUGAAGGCCCUUGGGUUGUAAACUCCUUUUGUUGGGGAAGAAAUGCGACCAGGUGAACAAUCUGGUCGUUUGACGGUACCCAGCGAAUAAGCUCCGGCUAACUCCGUGCCAGCAGCCGCGGUAACACGGGGGGAGCAAGCGUUGUUCGGAAUCACUGGGCGUAAAGGGCGUGUAGGCGGUCAGAUAAGUGGAAUGUGAAAUGCCCCGGCUCACCCGGGGACCGGCAUCCCAAACUGUCUGGCUUGAGUAUGGGAGAGGAUGGAGGAAUUCCUGGUGUAGCGGUGAAAUGCGUAGAUAUUAGGAGGAACACCGGUGGCGAAGGCGGCUGCCUGGACCGAUAUUGACGCUGAGACGCGAAAGCGUGGGUAGCAAACAGGAUUAGAUACCCCGNUANUC